CUCCGAUAGGUUAUUGUGUGUAGGGAAUUGUGUUAAAAGUUAAAAAAAUAUGAUCUCAGUGCAUAAAUACAAGACGUUAUGGACACAGAUUUAGCUGUACUGAUGAUUGUGUCAGAGAUUUCUUCUCAUUCUGGAAAUUAUCUACGGAAAUCUGCCUCCUGUUUUUCUGGGAUCACCUUAGGCAACAUACUGGCGACU